UACAGAGGGUGCGAGCGUUGUCCGGAAUUAUUGGGCGUAAAGGGCUCGUAGGCGGUUUGUCGCGUCGGGAGUGAAAACCUUGGGCUUAACUCAGGGCUUGCUUUCGAUACGGGCAGACUAGAGGUAUGCAGGGGAGAACGGAAUUCCUGGUGUAGCGGUGAAAUGCGCAGAUAUCAGGAGGAACACCGGUGGCGAAGGCGGUUCUCUGGGCAUGAUCUGACGCUGAGGAGCGAAAGUGUGGGGAGCGAACAGG
rnacentral:rRNA from 1 species